GCGCAUGUGGCGUAAUUGGUAGCCGUGUUAGACUUAGGAUCUAAUGUCUCAGGACGUGGGGGUUCGAGUCCCUUCAUGCGCA
rnacentral:tRNA from 1 species